rnacentral:rRNA from 1 species
UACGGAGGGGGCUAGCGUUGUUCGGAUUUACUGGGCGUAAAGGGCGCGUAGGCGGCUUGACAAGUCACUUGUGAAAUCUCCGGGCUUAACUCGGAACGGCCAAGUGAAACUGUCAUGCUAGAGUGCAGAAGGGGCAAUCGGAAUUCUUGGUGUAGCGGUGAAAUGCGUAGAUAUCUGGAGGAACACCGGUGGCGAAGGCGGCAUCCUGGACCAAUUCUGACGCUGAGGAGCGAAAGCCAGGGGAGCAAACGGG